CAAUUUAGUUAUUGGGUAAGUAUCCUAUCGGGCUUUUUAGGCUAAUGACUAUAAAUUAUAAGGAGUACUGUUAAUGGCCCGUAUCGCUGGCAUUAACAUCCCUGAG
rfam:Paraglaciecola psychrophila 170 chromosome, complete genome.